rnacentral:lncRNA from 1 species
UAUUGAGAGUGUUGUUAGAUAAUCGACUUCGUGUGUUGGAAAUAAAUGGAGAGCAUAAAAGAGUGGUUAGUUCUGCAUUGUGAUGAUUAAAUCCCUUGAGUUGUGUUGAUUAUGGUGAUAUAGUUGGGUGGAAGAUGGAAUUUAUUCCAUACUUGAUUUGUGAAGCUAUAAGGUUGGUGUUCUUAAAUUAUUUUGAAUCACUUAGCCUAUAUUUCCCUACCUUAACCAAUGUCCCUACAUUAUAACC